rnacentral:rRNA from 1 species
CCUACGGGUGGCAGCAGUGAGGAAUAUUGGUCAAUGGACGCAAGUCUGAACCAGCCAUGCCGCGUGCAGGAAGACGGCUCUAUGAGUUGUAAACUGCUUUUGUACGAGGGUAAACGCAGGUACGCGUAUCUGUCUGAAAGUAUCUUACGAAUAAGGAUCGGCUAACUCCGUGCCAGCAGCCGCGGUAAUACGGAGGAUCCAAGCGUUAUCCGGAUUUAUUGGGUUUAAAGGGUGCGUAGGCGGUCGGAUAAGUUAGAUGUGAAAUCCCGCGGCUCAACUUCGGAAUUGCAGCUGAUACUGGCAGGCUGGAGUGUAGUUGCGGUAGGCGGAAUGCGUGGUGUAGCGGUGAAAUGCUUAGAUAUCAUGCAGAACACCGAUUGCGAAGGCAGCUUACCAAGCUGCUACUGACGUUGAGGCACGAAAGCGUGGGGAGCAAACAGGAUUAGAUACCCGUGUAGUC